rnacentral:sRNA from 1 species
UAGCGAUCUCCUCAGUCCACCAGUGGACUC